rnacentral:miRNA from 1 species
GCCAUAAGUACCUGCAAGGCAA